UUUGGUGCAUACGCUGCUGGUUCUCGUCGUCCCAAUUGGGGUUAAUGGCAACACGCCAGAAAACACAUUGGAAGAAAUUCAGUUGAACCCUACCACUACCGAGCUCCCAAACGUUGGAUUUUGAGAACUUGGAAUUCCAGAUGGCCUAACUCGCCUUCUUUCGGAUCCUCCAAACAGAGGAUUGCUAUUUCCUACCGCAGCUCAGCCCCAAUGCAGAAACUGGCGCGGCCGAGCGUUUUCCGGUCACUGCGCCUUCUCAAAUCCCACAACCACCCCAAAAUAUACCGACCCAGCUUGGGUGAUGUUGUAUGCAAGGUGUUCGAUGAAAAGCCUGUGUGGGACGUGGUGGGCAUUGCAAGGUUUCCGUUGGAGUGCCAAAAAUGGGUUCAUUCGGCUCCGUGUGUUAACACAGAACACAAGGCUGUGGAGCCGUUGGAAAAUUCAAAAGACGGCGCGGGUGCUGAGGCCACUGGUGAUGGUAAAGUGAAGAGGAAAAAGCUCAAGGGAAAAAGGGCAGUGGUUAGGUGGCUCAAGUUCUUCAGGUAUAAGAAGAAGAAAGACUAUGAGAGAAUGACUGCUGAGGAGAAAAUUCUCCACAAGUUAAGAAAGGCUCAAAGGAAAGAGGAAAGGCUUGUUGAAGCUCUCAAAAAGAUUGAGCCCUCGGAGCCAUCGGAGACAAACCAUGAUCCAGAAAUAUUGACGCCGGAGGAACACUUCUACUUUCUGAAGAUGGGUCUCAAGUGCAAGAACUAUGUGCCCGUUGGUAGACGGGGGAUAUACCAGGGUGUGAUUCUGAACAUGCACUUGCAUUGGAAGAAACAUCAAACUCUGCAGGUGGUGGUGAAAACAUUCUCACCUGAAGAGGUUAAGGAGAUUGCUUCUGAGCUGGCUAGAUUAACCGGAGGGAUUGUGCUCGGCAUUCAUGAAGAAUACACGAUAAUUAUGUAUAGAGGGAAGAACUAUUCUCAGCCUCCAACAGAAAUCAUGUCACCUAGGGUCACUCUCUCCAGGAAGAAGGCUUUGGAUAAAUCGAAGUAUAAGGAUGGUCUUCGAGCUGUAAGGAAAUAUAUUCCAAAACUUGAACAAGAUCUUGAGUUGCUUCGAGCACAGGCUAAAAGGAAAGUAGACAUCAAUACAGAGUACAUUGAAGAAACGCAAGAAACUGGUACUGAAUCUACUGAUAGUGCACACUCUGGUAGCUCCUCAAAGUUGAAGCUGGAGGCUUCAAAUAAGGUAAAAGAAAUGAUGGAUAGGAGCAAGGAACGCUCUGAGGAUGACCUUUCAACAGAUGUGGAUAUAGCUUCAGACUCUGAAGAUUUAUCUGAUAUUUUUGAUACUGACUCUGAGAAGGAGACCGAGAAGAAGGCAGAGCGACCUCUGUAUUUGGAAGAGUUUGAAAAGUUUCCAGUUGAAGGUGAUGGCGAACCUGAAGAUUUUGAGGAUCACCUGCGUCAAAUAUCUAGGGACGCAAAGAAGGAUAAAUCCUUGGACGAAGAUGCUGGCUUGCCGAAUUUUGAUGAAGUUGAUCGAGUAUUUCUGCGUGCUGCUUCACUUUUAAAGAAAAAAAGAAGAUGAGACACUUGUAAAUUGCUUAUGAUCACAAUUCGAUGGAUAUAGUUGUAACUGUGAUUCAUGAGGAAGAAACUUUGGUGUUCAACAAAAGCAUAUAAAAUCUUAAAGGCUUCAAGUUGGAUUGGACAGAAACUUCAGCCGAAAGGGACUUGAAUGCAGUUGUAGAACCACAUAUCGGUAGGAAUUUGAGUCUGAAGAUGCUGCCGAGGUUUUUUACGAAGAUUAUUCAAGGCGAGUUGGGUUCAUCAUGUGUAUAGAUCAGUGUCGGCGAUCAGAUGUUGACAAGAGAGUUCUUUCCCGUAGGCUAUCCUGCAAUAAGCAAGGAGGGCGUUCUGUAAAAGCUAGAGACCGAGUCCUGUCAGUUUGAAGACCACGACCUAUGAGAAGAGAAUGUUGUAAAGCAAUGAUGCUAGUCAAACUUGAUGAGUCUGGAAAAUGGGUUGUUACAAGAGUUGUUAAGGACCAUGCUCAUCCACUUAUAGUUUCUUCCGGGAAUUCUAUGGACGCAAAGGAUAUGAAGAUUGCGGAACUCACUAUGGACCUGGGGCGUGAAGAGCAAUUAUGUGGACAAUACCAUGAGCCACUACUUACAUUGCUGAAUAAUGUUGAGGCGGAGACGGAACUGAUAGCAACGAAAGUUAGAGGAGUCGUUAACCAUGUAAGAGAAUUUGAGACUGACGUUGAAGGGCUUCCACAAAAUCAAAUGGAGGCUAAAGUUCGACGGCUUCCUCCAAAUCAAACGGUGACUGAAGUUCAAGGGCUUCCACAAAGUCAAUCAGGCCACAAUUAGAGACAGAAUUAUGGCUCUGUGCAGACUAGGUGCAUGAGGAUUCGACUGAUGUUCUCCUGGAGAGUAUUCUGACAGACUAACAUACUGUACAGCAGAAAUGUCUUGAAGACUUGAACCAUAAAAAUUCAGUCCAGGGCAGCGUGCAAGACAAGAAGCAGAUCAAAGUGGCAUGAACAUUUCAUUUAAUCGAACGAAACAAACAAUGAAAGUUUGUAGAAGAAUGUUGGAUUUUCAUUGAACCGUAGAAUAAAAGAACUUCUCUAUUUGUGAUGGAAGAAAUUAAUUGUAAUUAACACUGUACAUUAUUGGAUGAUGGAGCUGAAUGGUGAGUAAUUCACUGAAAAUCCUAGUUUUAAUCUCCAAUGCUAUCUACGAAAGGAAUGUUUUUGCA